rnacentral:lncRNA from 1 species
UACAUAUAUUAAUAUUUUUAUUAAAUUUUAUUUUAAAAUAAUUUAAAAUUUAAAUUUGAAUUAAAAGUAUAAUUUAAAUUUAAAAUUUACACAAAAAAUAAAUUUGAAAUUCAAAAUUUUAAAUUUUAAAUUUGAUUUUUUUAAACCUAAAUUUAAAAUUUCAAUUUUCCGAUCUGAAUUUAAAUUUUGAAUUUCAAAUUUAAAAUUUAAAUUUAAAAUU